rnacentral:rRNA from 1 species
GACGAACGCUGGCGGCGUGCUUAACACGUGCAAGUCGAGCGAUGAAACUCCUUCGGGAGUGGAUUAGCGGCGGACGGGUGAGUAACACGUGGGUAACCUGCCUCAUAGAGGGGAAUAGCCUUUCGAAAGGAAGAUUAAUGCCGCAUAAGAUUGUAGCUUCGCAUGAAGCAGCAAUUAAAGGAGUAAUCCGCUAUGAGAUGGACCCGCGUCGCAUUAGCUAGUUGGUGAGGUAACGGCUCACCAAGGCGACGAUGCGUAGCCGACCUGAGAGGGUGAUCGGCCACAUUGGGACUGAGACACGGCCCAGACUCCUACGGGAGGCAGCAGUGGGGAAUAUUGCACAAUGGGGGAAACCCUGAUGCAGCAACGCCGCGUGAGUGAUGACGGUCUUCGGAUUGUAAAGCUCUGUCUUCAGGGACGAUAAUGACGGUACCUGAGGAGGAAGCCACGGCUAACUACGUGCCAGCAGCCGCAGUAAGAC